UACAGAGGUCUCAAGCGUUGUUCGGAUUCAUUGGGCGUAAAGGGUGCGUAGGUGGCGGGGUAAGUCUGGUGUGAAAUCUCGGGGCUCAACCCCGAAACUGCACUGGAUACUGCCUUGCUCGAGUACUGGAGAGGAGAUUGGAAUUUACGGUGUAGCAGUGAAAUGCGUAGAUAUCGUAAGGAAGACCAGUGGCGAAGGCGAAUCUCUGGACAGUUACUGACGCUGAGGCACGAAGGCCAGGGGAGCAAACGGG
rnacentral:rRNA from 1 species